AUGAUUAAAGGAGAAGUCUGUUCUAUUGCCAAACAUAUGCAGUUCAAAUCACAUCUUAUAAUAAUAAGAAAUAUUUCUCGGUAUCAAUCCCAUUGCCCCUUAUUCUUUGAGAAUCCGAAGGAUUGUUUUCGAGUUUCCCGAGCUCUUUUAUCUUUGACUUGUUUGUUAUAG
rnacentral:rRNA from 1 species